UACGGAGGAUGCAAGCGUUAUCCGGAAUGAUUGGGCGUAAAGCGUCCGCAGGUGGCUAUGUAAGUCUGCUGUUAAAGAGUGAGGCUCAACCUCAUAAGAGCAGUGGAAACUACAUGGCUAGAGUGCGUUCGGGGCAGAGGGAAUUCCUGGUGUAGCGGUGAAAUGCGUAGAGAUCAGGAAGAACACCGGUGGCGAAAGCGCUCUGCUAGGCCGCAACUGACGCUGAGGGAGCGAAAGCCAGGGGAGCAAACGGG
rnacentral:rRNA from 1 species